rnacentral:lncRNA from 1 species
CUUCUUCAUCAUCUUUCAGGCUUCGAGCUUCAGUUUCAUCAGCUGCUACUUCAACUGCAGUCGAUGGAACCAUCUCCUCCACCAAACCUUCCAAGUCUUUGCCUUACAGAGUGGGUCAUGGAUUCGACCUUCAUCGUUUGGAGCCUGGCUACCCUUUGAUCAUUGGUGGGAUUGAUAUUCCUCAUGAUAGAGGCUGUGAAGCUCAUUCUGAUGGUAUUUUUUAAUUCCCUACACUUUUGGGUAGUUUAAAUUUAUAAACAUCUUCCCCAUUUUUAUCUCGAAUUUGUAUCUCUAUUUAAAAUUGCCACUUUUGCAUUUGGGAUUAAUAUGCUGUAGGAGAUGUACUGCUUCAUUGUGUUGUGGAUGCAAUAUUGGGAGGUUUAGGGCUACCUGAUAUAGGGCAAAUAUUUCCAGACUCUGAUCCCAAGUGGAAAGGAGCUCCAUCUUCAGUUUUCAUUAAAGAAGCUGUGAGUAUUUCUUUAAUGUAGAUUCUAUUUCUUUAAUUUCCUGGAUUGUUUAUUUUCCAAUGGAUGCUUUGAGCCUUUGAUAUGUAAAGUCUUUGAUAAGCAAUAAAUGUUCCUUCAGAAUAUAGCUUAAUUUAUUUAUUAUUGAAUGGGAUUAAGCUUUUAGAAUUGUGAUAAACUGAUAUGCAUCUAGUCUGCAAAGUGAUUCUCUAUGCAGAUGCUCCUUAUAAACAUGAUUUUUGACUUUAAAGUUAGGCUAAAUGCUUGGUUUGGGACUAAACCUUGGAGGCACUGAGUGAAUAAGAGUGAAAUGUUUGAAGCUGGUCUUUUGAGAGGAUUAAAUCUGAGAGCUUCCCAAAAAACCCAAAUCAACAAUAGCUUCCCAAACCUCCAUAAAAAACAUUACUGUGGAAUUGAUAUAAUAAUUGAAGUUAUAAGAAUCCUGUCUUGGGUAACAUAGUUGAAGUUGAAUAAUCUGUUUGUCUUGGAAUGAAUGGUGGUAGUACUAGUACAUCCUUGCCCAAGCAAUUCAAGUAUCCUUUUCUAGCUGAAAUCAUGAGUGAUACCGUUGUCUUGGGUUCGGGCUAUGUUAGACUUUAAAACUUGAAUCCUUUUACUUCGUUUUUAUAAAUUGGUUUUCUUUAAGUAUAAACUGGUUGGAGUUUGGUUGGUUUGUUGCAUAUUAAGGUUUCUUGUUUAUCAGUAAUUCAUUCCUUAAUGAUUUUUAAUUCUCUUUUAUCAUUCUAUUGUUUUGCUGAAUGGGAUAUAAGAUAUAAAAGAUUCAGCAUUCAAAAGUAUUAUUGCUAUAUAAUUAUUUCAAGUUCAGCUUUAAAGUUACCGAGAAUUUUCUAAUUAAGUUUUGUUUACAAUAGAGUUAUGAGGUAUUUUGUACAAAGGAUCUACAUUUUUUUUAUUUUAACCAUGCCAUGCCUUUUUUGUCUAUGUAGAUGCUUGUUCUUUUAUUACUAACACUUCUAUCAAUAGUAGUUGCAGGAAAUAUCAUUCACCCCUUGGGAACAACUUUCCACACUAAAAAAGCUGCGGAAGUAAUCUUAGGAACAACUAACCUUGGGAACCAUAUUAUGUUAGGAACAACUAACUUUUGGAAUGGCAUUAUGGUGGGAACACUUUGGAGCUAACCUUGGAAGGUUGGCAGGAUUCUUGGGUUGCUCCACCAUUGGGAUGUCUUGGAGGCUCAAAAUACGAGCAUUGUUAAGAAAUACACUUCUUAACCUUUCUCUGAAAUAUGAGUGCUUCCUUUCCUGGUUAAACGGAAUGUACACUUGUACCUGAACAUACAAGUAAUACUAUGUUUACCAGAAAUAAUACGUGAGUAUAACUACCACCUAAUUUUGUAAUCGCCUAAUUUCUUAGAAGCACAUUUACUAGUUUCUCUCAAUUCCACUACCCAUUACUUUAACAGGUUCACUCCCACUUCUCUCUACAACCGCUCCUUAAUAACUUCCUUCUAAGGCCUAUAAAUAGAGUCUCGAACAUUUCAUUUAGGAGCUUUUGAUCUUUUGGCAAACUUGAGUAUUCUCUCUAUUAUUGUUACAACCACACAACCUUCACUGUCCUUGACUGUUUAUCACUUCCAUCAUCAUGAGCUGCCGCCUCACUUGUUUUCCAAAGUUUGCUCCGAUCUUCAUCUCGACCAUCUUUUCACGGCAUCUUGUUUUCCUAGCUUGUAAUGUCUCCUCACCUUAACAAAAGAGUCCUCUACAGUCUGUAUAUGUUCUUUUCUUUCUCUUAUUUGAACUCGGUGGUUUCAAACAAAUCUCAAAACAUGUUUGCAAACCUGAUAGUUUGAAACUCCAAGAGCUUCACAUAUUAAGUUAGCUUUAGGAUUGAUGCACCUCGUUACAGAGAACACAAAAAAGAUCGAAAGAAGAAAAGAAAAGAGAGAAAACAAAGAAGAGAGAAGAUGAAAAUUUCAUUCAACCAAUUCCAUAACUACCUCAUUCCCUUCCCUGCUGCUGCAAAGGAAAGAAUUGGCCAUUACCAAAAUCAGUUGGGUAAGUUGUUACACGACAGCUAUAGCUUUUCCCAAGCUAAAACUCACGUUUCAUUAAAAUUUAAACGCACAGUAGUUACCAAAACGUAGCGUUCUACUACUAGUUAACUGACUAUUUUUUUCCUUGUUUUUAGUUUCCUACCGUAACAAAUACUCCCUCCCUCAAAAGAUCCUUGUCCUCAAAGAUUAAAGGUAGGGAAUUUUCUCUGCAGCUGUUGUAGGGACUCUCAGGUAGCAUCUUCUGGAAACGUGUUGGUCCAUUCCACCAGCACUUCAAUGACUGUCUGGUUGCCCCUCUUGACCAUACAUCUUUCUAGAAUGCAAGCAGGCUCCUUAAGCAUAGCCCCAUUAGCACCUACCACUGGUAAAGUAGAUUGAACUGAAGUCUUUCCAAUAUGCUUCUUAAGUUGAGAAACAUGGAAGGUAGGGUGAAUACAAGAAACCAGUAGAAGCUUGGAUUGGACUGGCAAUAGGAACCGGUUUAACCAGUGAAGAAGAUCUACGUGGUACAUUAAGGGGUCAAGAUGGAUUACCGAGACUCAUAAAAAGACUCUUCUUAUGGGAAUCGAGGAGAAUGCCCUCUACUUGUCUAGCAAUUAGGAAGCCCUCUACCAAUGACUUAGGCUUAAACAACUGUAGAUAUUGACCAAUCUCUAACUUCAAAUUACUGGUAAAAAUACUUAAAACAUAUGAUUCAGACAAUUGGAGCUGGUUCAAAAGACUUACAAAUGCAUCAUGGAACUGCUUAAAUGAUCCAUGUUGCUUCAAGGAGACCAGGUCAGUCAUGGGAUCUCGAAACAAACUGGAUCCAAAUCAUUCUUUCAAGCUAUGUGCAUAGCAGGUCCAAUUCAAUAGAUGUAGUCCUUCCUGUUUUUGGGUGUAAAAAUGGUGUCAACCGAGUGCUCUCCUUUUAGAUGAAGCAUUGCAAUCCUAACCUUGGAAGUAUCUGUCACACCUUCUGCCUCAAAGUACUGCUCUAACUUGGACCACCAUCCUCUAAAAUUGAAGCUAUCAAACUUGGGGCAUUCAAGCUUGUGAGACAAGGAAUUCCAAUCUAAAAGACUUGAACGCGAAGGAGUUCCUGAACUUCCCAGUUCCAGCAUAGGAUGAGCAUCCAAAGGGUCCCUGGAAGGAAAACUAGGUGAAGCAUCUGCCAAAAUACUUUUCCCUUUAUCUUGAGCAGCCAAAUUACUCACAGCAGGAGUUGGAUUGCCCAAGUAUUGCUCAAACAGAUUUUGUAACUUAGACUGUAUCUCCCCUCUGAAAUCGUCCUUCAGUUCCUUCAGCUGAGUGUCCAGCUUGGCAUACCACUGCAGCAACUCGCCAUGAAGCUUGGCAACCUCUUAUUGAAGAUGACCGACAUCCUUUUGUAAGUGAGUAGUGACCCCAUCACCAGCCAUGGAGGAUCGGCAGGCUCUGAUACCCUUGAUGCACCUCGUUACAGAGAAAAUGGAAAAGAUUGGAAGAAGAAAAGAAAAAAGAGAAAACAGAGAAGAAGAGAGAAGAGGAAAAUUUCAUUUAACCAAUUCCAUAACUGCCUCAUUCCCUUCCCUACUGCUAAAAAGGAAAGAAUUGGCCGUUACCAAAAUCAGUUGGGAAAGCUGUUACACGGCAGCUGUAGCUUUUCCCAAGCUAAAACUCAACGUUUCAUUAAAACUUAACGCACCGUUUUCAUUAACAGUGGUUACCAAAAUGCAGCGUUCUACUACUAGUUAACUGACUAUUUUUUUCCUUGUUUUUAGUUUCCUACCGCAACAGUUUCAAAAGGAAAUUAACCUGUUUUUCUUUUUCAGAUUUAAUGUUCCCCAAUUUUUUGGGAACUUUGAGGAUUUUAGGUUGAAGAAGACUGAAUAAAUUAGUUUUCUUUUGCAUUAAUCUAUUUUCAUUCAAUUCCAACUUGGUAUUGUUACAUUUAAAAGAAAUUACAUGUCAAUUUAAAUAAAGUCAUGUUUGCUUAAAUUUGUUAUACCAGUACAAGGGUGGUGUGUGUGUGUACCACAAUUGUUUGCAAAACUCCUUAUUGAGUAGUUCUGAAAAGGUUUGACCCUUGUUCACUCAAUGUCUCAGAGGUUUAACCCCAAAUUGAGCGCCUUAAAAGUUUAGGGAAAAUAUAAAUUUCUAAAAUUUGAUGCUUCUAAGAGAAUAUACCGAGUAUGAUAUUGCUUUACUGCAGAGUCAUGUGAAAUCUAUGACACUUUGUUUGAUGUUGGCUUCACCAACUAUGAUGCAAAGAACCUUUCAUCAAAACAGCCUAAUUCUUUUGUGGUUGCAAAAUGAAGCAAUUUUAUUUCGAUUAAAGUAUGGCUUGCAUGCACAUUUUUAUAUACCUAUCAUGCAUAUUAUGGUUAAAUGCUGAUGUCAAUCUUGACUGUAAAGUGAAAUGCUAAUACAUCUUAUGCAUGUGGUUUUAUAUAAAGCAUAGCAUAGAGGAGGAACUGUUACUGAAUCUGAAUCUACAUGUAUACUGCAUUGUUCAGUGAAGAAACAAACUUAUCGAAGUGUUCCUCCAAUGCCACUGCUCCCCAACUCUUAGUUCUACUUUCUUCUCACUGAUUUGGCAUUCUAAAAGUUCAACUAAUGUUUGAUUGCCCUUAUAUUGGUAGGAUAGUCCCCUCUUUAAGCUGACCGGCAUAAGCAAGAACGAUUAACAAAUUAGCAAGGUUAAACAAAUUAUAAAGCGGGGGUGUACUGAUAACCAUGAUUGUCUUGAAAUAUAGAUGUAGAUGAUCCAUUAACUGAUUUGUUUCAAUAUAUAGACAUUUGUUCCCCUUCUGCUGAUUUAGAUUUUAGAUCGUAGUAGUUAAUAGCCAAGAGCAAGGAUCCACUUACACUAGCAUGAAACUAAAAUAGUUUCACCCUUCUGUAGCAUUUUGUGUGAUCAAUAUUUUUAUAAUCCAGUUGUCAUAUUUUAUGUUCUAUUCAUGUAGAUCAUGCAUUUAAGUUUUAGUAAAUUGAAAAUGUUUAAAUAUUUCUUUGAUGUAAAAACUUUCAACUGCUAAAUAGAAAUUAAUAAAAACAAUAUUCUUGACCGAUAUGAUAGAGGUAUUGGAUUGAUUCAAAACGUUAUGUGCAUAAAAGUAUGAUUAUAUUGAUAAAUUCAGUAGUUGGAUUGUUAAAUAUUAGUCGUAUAGAAAGAUAUGAAAGCGUGAAACACUAGUUUUGUUUUAUAUUGAUGUAAAUAAAUCUCUCAGUAACUAGAAGAAUGAUCCACUCCACUUACACUAAUAUAAAACUAUUUUAGUUUUACAGAUUUCCACGAUUAGUAUUUUUAGCAAUGUAUAUCUUUUGAAGGACUCCCUGGUUAAGUUCAUUCAUAUCAUUAUGCUAGCUAAAAUCUGAAAGAAACCCUUACUAUCUGCAAACUAAAAUGAAUUGAAGAGCUUCUCUGUUUUUCUUUUUUUCUUUCACUGCCUAAGUUGGUCAUGCUAGGCAGGCCAUCAUUGCUUAUAUCAUCUAUUUUAGGAAUAUAUACUCGAUUUUAGCAUUUCAGACUCUUUAUAUUAACCAUGCUUAUCUUCCGUGACAUCGUUCUUUUCAGGUGAGACUCAUGCAUGAGGCAGGUUACGAGAUUGGAAACCUAGAUGCCACCUUAAUUCUUCAAAGACCGAAACUGAGUCCACACAAGGGAGUUAUCAAAGCCAAUUUGUCUGAGCUUCUAGGCGCCGACCCAUCUGUCAUCAAUCUUAAAGCCAAGACUCACGAGAAGGUUGACAGCCUU